AUCCAGUUGACGUGUGCAAAAUAGGACGAAACGCGCGUCAAACUAGAU
rnacentral:hammerhead_ribozyme from 1 species